rnacentral:misc_RNA from 1 species
GAGAGCCGGAUGCGGGAGAUCCGCACGUCCGGUUCGAGAAGGAUCGUUCGCGGCGAUCCCGGC